rnacentral:rRNA from 1 species
GAUGAACGCUGGCGGCGUGCCUAAUACAUGCAAGUCGAGCGAACGGACGAGAAGCUUGCUUCUCUGAUGUUAGCGGCGGACGGGUGAGUAACACGUGGAUAACCUACCUAUAAGACUGGGAUAACUUCGGGAAACCGGAGCUAAUACCGGAUAAUAUUUUGAACCGCAUGGUUCAAAAGUGAAAGACGGUCUUGCUGUCACUUAUAUAUGGAUCCGCGCUGCAUUAGCUAGUUGGUAAGGUAACGGCUUACCAAGGCAACGAUGCAUAGCCGACCUGAGAGGGUGAUCGGCCACACUGGAACUGAGACACGGUCCAGACUCCUACGGAGGGCAGCAGAAGGGAAUCUUCCGCAAUGGGCGAAAGCCUGACGGAGCAACGCCGCGUGAGUGAUGAAGGUCUUCGGAUCGUAAAACUCUGUUAUUAGGGAAGAACAUAUGUGUAAGUAACUGUGCACAUCUUGACGGUACCUAAUCAGAAAGCCACGGCUAACUACGUG